GACGAACGCUGGCGGCGUGCUUAACACAUGCAAGUCGAACGGAAAGGCCCUGCUUUUGUGGGGUGCUCGAGUGGCGAACGGGUGAGUAACACGUGAGUAACCUGCCCUUGACUUUGGGAUAACUUCAGGAAACUGGGGCUAAUACCGGAUAGGAGCUCCUGCUGCAUGGUGGGGGUUGGAAAGUUUCGGCGGUUGGGGAUGGACUCGCGGCUUAUCAGCUUGUUGGUGGGGUAGUGGCUUACCAAGGCUUUGACGGGUAGCCGGCCUGAGAGGGUGACCGGCAACAUUGGGACUGAGAUACGGCCCAGACUCCUACGGGAGGCAGCAGUGGGGAAUAUUGCACAAUGGGCGGAAGUCUGAUGCAGCAACGCCGCGUGCGGGAUGACGGCCUUCGGGUUGUAAACCGCUUUCGCCUGUGACGAAGCGUGAGUGACGGUAAUGGGUAAAGAAGCACCGGCUAACUACGUG
rnacentral:rRNA from 1 species